GCGGCUCGCGCUCAGGCGGCUCCAGGCCGGGCCCGGGGUCCGGAGCGGGGAGCCGGGAGCCGAGCGAGGACCCGGCGCCCGCAGUCCAGUCUUGGCCGCGCCCGUGCUCGGCUUGGCCGCGGGGUGCGGGGACCACGGCCCGGCCGGGCCACCCGAAGCCUAGUGCUGGGCCGGGCCGGGCCGGGGUGGGUGGGGGCCCGCCCGGCCCGCCCAUGGGCUCAGGAUGCCGGUGCGGAGGGGCCACGUCGCGCCGCAGAACACCUUCCUGGACACCAUCAUCCGCAAGUUUGAGGGCCAGAGCCGUAAGUUCAUCAUCGCCAACGCUCGGGUGGAGAAUUGCGCCGUCAUCUACUGCAACGACGGCUUCUGCGAGCUGUGCGGCUACUCGCGGGCCGAGGUGAUGCAGCGACCCUGCACCUGCGACUUCCUGCACGGGCCGCGCACGCAGCGCCGCGCUGCAGCGCAGAUCGCGCAGGCACUGCUGGGCGCCGAGGAGCGCAAAGUGGAAAUCGCCUUCUACCGGAAAGAUGGGAGCUGCUUCCUAUGUCUGGUGGAUGUGGUGCCCGUGAAGAACGAGGAUGGGGCUGUCAUCAUGUUCAUCCUCAAUUUCGAGGUGGUGAUGGAGAAGGACAUGGUGGGGUCCCCGGCUCAUGACACCAAUCACCGGGCCCCCCCCACCAGCUGGCUGGCCCCAGGCCGCGCCAAGACCUUCCGCCUGAAGCUGCCCGCGCUGCUGGCGCUGACGGCCCGGGAGUCGUCGGUGCGGUCGGGCGGCGCGGGCGGCGCGGGCGCCCCGGGGGCCGUGGUGGUGGACGUGGACCUGACGCCCGCGGCACCCAGCAGCGAGUCGCUGGCCCUGGACGAAGUGACAGCCAUGGACAACCACGUGGCAGGGCUCGGGCCCGCGGAGGAGCGGCGUGCGCUGGUGGGUCCCGGCUCUCCGCCCCCCAGCGCGCCCGGCCAGCUCCCAUCGCCCCGGGCGCACAGCCUCAACCCCGACGCCUCGGGCUCCAGCUGCAGCCUGGCCCGGACGCGCUCCCGAGAAAGCUGCGCCAGCGUGCGCCGCGCCUCGUCGGCCGACGACAUCGAGGCCAUGCGCGCCGGGGUGCUGCCCCCGCCACCGCGCCACGCCAGCACCGGGGCCAUGCACCCACUGCGCAGCGGCUUGCUCAACUCCACCUCGGACUCCGACCUCGUGCGCUACCGCACCAUUAGCAAGAUUCCCCAAAUCACCCUCAACUUUGUGGACCUCAAGGGCGACCCCUUCUUGGCUUCGCCCACCAGUGACCGUGAGAUCAUAGCACCUAAGAUAAAGGAGCGAACCCACAAUGUCACUGAGAAGGUCACCCAGGUCCUGUCCCUGGGCGCCGACGUGCUGCCUGAGUACAAGCUGCAGGCACCGCGCAUCCACCGCUGGACCAUCCUGCAUUACAGCCCCUUCAAGGCCGUGUGGGACUGGCUCAUCCUGCUGCUGGUCAUCUACACGGCUGUCUUCACACCCUACUCGGCUGCCUUCCUGCUGAAGGAGACGGAAGAAGGCCCGUCUGCUACCGAGUGUGGCUACGCCUGCCAGCCGCUGGCUGUGGUGGACCUCAUCGUGGACAUCAUGUUCAUUGUGGACAUCCUCAUCAACUUCCGCACCACCUACGUCAAUGCCAACGAGGAGGUGGUCAGCCACCCCGGCCGCAUCGCCGUCCACUACUUCAAGGGCUGGUUCCUCAUCGACAUGGUGGCCGCCAUCCCCUUCGACCUGCUCAUCUUCGGCUCUGGCUCUGAGGAGCUGAUCGGGCUGCUGAAGACUGCGCGGCUGCUGCGGCUGGUGCGCGUGGCGCGGAAGCUGGAUCGCUACUCAGAGUACGGCGCGGCCGUGCUGUUCUUGCUCAUGUGCACCUUUGCGCUCAUCGCGCACUGGCUGGCCUGCAUCUGGUACGCCAUCGGCAACAUGGAGCAGCCGCACAUGGACUCACGCAUCGGCUGGCUGCACAACCUGGGCGACCAGAUAGGCAAACCCUACAACAGCAGCGGCCUGGGCGGCCCCUCCAUCAAGGACAAGUAUGUGACGGCGCUCUACUUCACCUUCAGCAGCCUCACCAGCGUGGGCUUCGGCAACGUCUCUCCCAACACCAACUCAGAGAAGAUCUUCUCCAUCUGCGUCAUGCUCAUUGGCUCCCUCAUGUACGCUAGCAUCUUCGGCAACGUGUCGGCCAUCAUCCAGCGGCUGUACUCGGGCACAGCCCGCUACCACACACAGAUGCUGCGGGUGCGGGAGUUCAUCCGCUUCCACCAGAUCCCCAACCCCCUGCGCCAGCGCCUCGAGGAGUACUUCCAGCACGCCUGGUCCUACACCAACGGCAUCGACAUGAACGCGGUGCUGAAGGGCUUCCCUGAGUGCCUGCAGGCUGACAUCUGCCUGCACCUGAACCGCUCACUGCUGCAGCACUGCAAACCCUUCCGAGGGGCCACCAAGGGCUGCCUUCGGGCCCUGGCUAUGAAGUUCAAGACCACACAUGCACCGCCAGGGGACACACUGGUGCAUGCUGGGGACCUGCUCACCGCCCUGUACUUCAUCUCCCGGGGCUCCAUCGAGAUCCUGCGGGGCGACGUCGUCGUGGCCAUCCUGGGUAUGGGGUGGGGGGCGGGCACUGGACUGGAAAUGCCCUCUGCAGCCUCAAGAGGUGCGAGCCUUCUGAAUAUGCAGUCACUGGGGCUGCGGACCUGGGACUGCCUGCAGGGUCACUGGGCUCCUUUAAUUCACCUAAAGUCAGGCCCUCCAAGCGGGGCCAUGGAGAGGAGCCCCACGUGGGGUGAGGCUGCUGAACUCUGGGGUUCCCACAUUCUCCUUCCCUUCAGGAUCUGCCACAAACAGACACUUUUUGCUUCCUUAAAGUAGGAUCAAAUCUAGAUCCUCUAGCCUGGGCAGUAGAGGAAGAAAUGCUAGCCUGGAAGCUCGGCAUUUGGUUUCACUAAGGGCCAUGUGGUUCCCUGCAGCCUCAUGCCUGGCCCCUUGACACAUCCAAAGCAAAGGGAGUCCUGCCCCCUCCCCCCACUUCCUUUCUACCCUGCCUGUGCACAGUGGGUGGGUUGGUGUGUCUGGACACUGAGGACUUCCUCCCCCUUUGCCUGUCCUUCCCUUGGCCCUGUGUGCCUCAGGGCAGAUAUAGCAAACUCUUUCCACCAUAGUUGAUGGUAGGACAUUUUAGAUUUUGUUUCUCAGCUCUGUACAAACACAAAUACACACCCCCACAAAACUAAAAUCAAAGUUUCACUACAUAACACUGGGCCUUACUGCAUGUGGUUCAUUCUAGCAUUUCUGUUCUGUGCUGUGCCUAAGCUAUACUACUGUAUGUUCUUUCAGUAAAAAAAAAAAAAAAAAAAAAA
rnacentral:sRNA from 1 species